UGGUUUUAAUAUUUUGGAAGGAAAAAAUGUAACAAGGUCUCCGUUGGUGAACCAGCGGAGGGAUCAUUACCGAGUUUACAACUCCCAAACCCCUGUGAACAUACCUUAUGUUGCCUCGGCGGAUCAGCCCGCGCCCCGUAAAAAGGGACGGCCCGCCGCAGGAACCCUAAACUCUGUUUUUAGUGGAACUUCUGAGUAUAAAAAACAAAUAAAUCAAAACUUUCAACAACGGAUCUCUUGGUUCUGGCAUCGAUGAAGAACGCAGCAAAAUGCGAUAAGUAAUGUGAAUUGCAGAAUUCAGUGAAUCAUCGAAUCUUUGAACGCACAUUGCGCCCGCCAGUAUUCUGGCGGGCAUGCCUGUUCGAGCGUCAUUUCAACCCUCAAGCCCAGCUUGGUGUUGGGAGCUGCAGUCCUGCUGCACUCCCCAAAUACAUUGGCGGUCACGUCGAGCUUCCAUAGCGUAGUAAUUUACACAUCGUUACUGGUAAUCGUCGCGGCCACGCCGUUAAACCCCAACUUCUGAAUGUGACCUCGGAUCAGGUAGGAAUCCCCCC
rnacentral:rRNA from 1 species